rnacentral:rRNA from 1 species
AGUCACUGCUAUCGNUGUUCGACUAAGCCAUGCGAGUCAAAUGUUCUUCGUGAACAUGGCGUACUGCUCAGUAACACGUGGAUAACCUGCCCUUAGGUCUGGCAUAACCCCGGGAAACUGGGGAUAAUUCCGGAUAGAUCAUAGAUGCCGGAAUGCGCUGUGAUCCAAAGCUAUUGUGCCUAAGGAUGGGUCUGCGGUCUAUCAGGUUGUAGUGGGUGUAAUGUACCUACUAGCCUACGACGGAUACGGGUUGUGGGAGCAAGAGCCCGGAGAUGGAUUCUGAGACAUGAAUCCAGGCCCUACGGGGCGCAGCAGGCGCGAAAACUUUACAAUGCGGGGAACCGCGAUAAGGGGACACCGAGUGCCAGCAUCCUAUGUUGGCUGUCCAUAUGUCUAAAUCACAUGUGUUAGCAAGGGCCGGGCAAGACCGGUGCCAGCCGCCGCGGUAACACCGGCGGCCCGAGUGGUGGCCACUAUUAUUGGGUCUAAAGGGCCCGUAGCCGGUUUGGUCAGUCUUCCGGGAAAUCUGACGGCUUAACCGUUAGGCUUUCGGGGGAUACUACCAGGCUUGGGACCGGGAGAGGUAAGAGGUACUACGGGGGUAGGAGUGAAAUCUUGUAAUCCCUGUGGGACCACCGGUGGCGAAGGCGUUUUACCAGAACGGGUCCGACGGUGAGGGACGAAAGCUGGGGGCACGAACCGGAUUAGAUACCCGGGUAGUCCCAGCUGUAAACUAUGCUCGCUAGGUGUCAGGGACGGUGCGACCGUUUCUGGUGCCGCAGGGAAGCCGUGAAGCGAGCCACCU